rnacentral:rRNA from 1 species
CCUACGGGUGGCUGCAGUGAGGAAUAUUGGUCAAUGGGCGCGAGCCUGAACCAGCCAAGUCGCGUGAGGGAUGACGGUCCUAUGGGUUGUAAACUUCUUUUAUCAGGGAGUAAAACGCGCCACGCGUGCCGUUCCGAGAGUACCCUAUGAAUAAGCAUCGGCUAACUCCGUGCCAGCAGCCGCGGUAAUACGGAGGAUGCGAGCGUUAUCCGGAUUUAUUGGGUUUAAAGGGAGCGAAGGCGGAAGUUAAAGUCAGCGGUAAAAUUGAGCGGCUCAACCUUAUCGUGCAGUUGAAACUGGUAGUCUUGAGUGAGCGAGAGGUAUGCGGAAUGCGUGGUGUAGCGGUGAAAUGCAUAGAUAUCACGCAGAACUCCGAUUGCGAAGGCAGCAUAC